rnacentral:rRNA from 1 species
GACGAACGCUGGCGGCGCGCCUAAUACAUGCAAGUCGAGCGGAGUUAUGAGGAAGCUUGCUUCCGAUUAACUUAGCGGCGGACGGGUGAGUAACACGUAGGCAACCUGCCCCUAAGACUGGGAUAACUACCGGAAACGGUAGCUAAUACCGGAUAAUCUCUUCCCUCUCCUGAGGGAAGAAUGAAAGGCGGAGCAAUCUGCCACUUGGGGAUGGGCCUGCGGCGCAUUAGCUAGUUGGCGGGGUAACGGCCCACCAAGGCGACGAUGCGUCGCCGAACUGAGAGGGUGAACGGCCACACUGGGCCUGAGAGACGGCCCAGACUCCUACGGGAGGCAGCAGUAGGGAAUCUUCCGCAAUGGGCGCAAGCCUGACGGAGCAACGCCGCGUGAGUGAUGAAGGUUUUCGGAUCGUAAAGCUCUGUUGCCAGGGAAGAACGUCCGGUAGAGUAACUGCUGCCGGAGUGACGGUACCUGAGAAGAAAGCCCCGGCUAACUACGUGCCAGCCGCCGCGGUAA